AGUUCGGAUUGUAGGCUGCAACCCGCCUACAUGAAGUUGGAAUUGCUAGUAAUCGCAGAUCAGAAUGCUGCGGUGAAUACGUUCCCGGGCCUUGUACACACCGCCCGUCACACCAUGGGAGCCGGUAAUACCCGAAGUCAGUAGUCUAACCGCAAGGGGGACGCUGCCGAAGGUAGGAUUGGCGACUGGGGUGAAGUCGUAACAAGGUAAC
rnacentral:rRNA from 1 species